ACGAACGCUGGCGGCGUGCCUAAUCCAUGCAAGUAGAACGCACAGUUUAUACCGUAGCUUGCUACACCAUAGACUGUGAGUUGCGAACGGGUGAGUAACGCGUAGGUAACCUGCCUGGUAGCGGGGGAUAACUAUUGGAAACGAUAGCUAAUACCGCAUAAUAUUAAUUAUUGCAUGAUAAUUAAUUGAAAGGUGCAAUUGCACCACUACCAGAUGGACCUGCGUUGUAUUAGCUAGUAGGUGAGGUAACGGCUCACCUAGGCGACGAUACAUAGCCGACCUGAGAGGGUGAUCGGCCACACUGGGACUGAGACACGGCCCAGACUCCUACGGGAGGCAGCAGUAGGGAAUCUUCGGCAAUGGACGAAAGUCUGACCGAGCAACGCCGCGUGAGUGAAGAAGGUUUUCGGACCGUAAAGCUCUGUUGUAAGAGAAGAACGGGUGUGAGAGUGGAAAGUUCACACUGUGACGGUAUCUUACCAGAAAGGGACGGCUAACUACGUG
rnacentral:rRNA from 1 species